rnacentral:lncRNA from 1 species
UUCCAUAGUGGAAUUCUAUCGGAUUUACUUGGCUAAUCAAUGAACGUGAUGUCUUGAACUGUUCAGCCAACCCAGACAAUAGCACUCACACAAUAUCCUCCUAAACAUAUUUGGUUUGAUCGGUUGUGCUCGUUUUGGCCCUGAGCAAUUCCUGGUAUUCAUGAGAGCUUUAGAGAAUUCAAGCCUUAAAAAAUUCUCAUAGAAAC